rnacentral:lncRNA from 10 species
GAACGUUGGAAGGAAAAAAAAAAAAAAAAGAUUGUGUUUGCCUACUUGGCAGAUGAGAGCCAACAUACUUUCUACUGUCCCUGAAAAUGACAGCCACUUCUACUGUCUGAUUCAAAGAUGUUCCCAAGUCAGACCUUACUAAAAAGUCAAUAUUCCUACCCAACUGGAUCAAGAUUGUAGAACACAAGGAUGCAUCCUUAACCUUAUAAAAAUGCCUUGGAAUUUUUAAUGAGCAGAAGUGGUCAGAACCUCAGUCAUACGUCUCAUCCAAUAGAUGGUUCUCCUGUAGCUCAGUGCUCCAUAACCCAGGCUGAAGUUGGCUCAGCACCACCCUGGGAUGGAAGAGGGCCACCUACUGAAUCACCGCCACCACAUCCUGCAGCAUCCUCCAUCCAAGUCUUUCCUGGGCCCACCCCUGCUGAACUCCCAAGGUCAGAAGAGAUCACAGCUUUAGAGCAUUUCAUUACAAAUUUUAAAUUUCCAGUCUCUGGUUUUCAUAUUGCAUUUCAAGAUCAACAUCCUUAUUAGUAGUCGUAUAUUUUUUAUUUUGAAAUUUUAUAACACCUUGUCCACUGGGAAAUUCCAAGCAGGCUACUGAACCUCGUUACCACACAGGCAGAAAUCCGCAUAACACCCCUGUGAAGGAGGUGUUAAAUGACAGAGAGAGAGAGGGAGCGCACACCAUCACCUACUCUUACAAAAGUCCAAUCCUUAAUAAUUAAUGAAUGAAAAGACAUCUUGAGUCCAGUGGUCACUGGGAGUAAUUGGCGUAUAUUUUCUCAGCUGCCUCUAAAUGAAAAUGGCAAUAAUUUAACCAAUAUAUUUGGGCCGACAGCUAGGCUAAAUUCAGUUCUCUUUUGCACCCAAGCAGUAGAACUAAGUGGGAUCUGAACAGACUACUCUCUGUUACCACCUGAUUGUGGAAAACUCACAUGUGGUGCUCAGCAACUGAGUAUUUCAAGUCCUGCUCACAUUUACAAUGUCUUUUUCUAUCCUCGGUUAAAAGGUCCUGAAAAUUGGGAGGACACAAGGUUACAUUUGUUUUAUACCUUUUCUCUGUCCUCAAUCCUUCCUUAUGUAAAAACUUCUGGUGUUUAAAUGAUAAUAUAAGAGGUUACUUCGAGUGAUAAAAUCAAGAGUCCAGCUAUCAAGAUGAAAUUACAUAACAUAAAUGUAUAGUUCAUAGUAUAGAUUGGUGGUUAUCAGCCUCAUAUUGAAUGCCUCCUUUUAUAACAAAUAUUUUAUAAUAUCACUGUAGCAGAUGCUAUCGGUUCCCUUCCUGUAUUCCCUAGGCCAUACACACCAGUGACAUCCUAUUUCUGGUCUCUGCUCAGGGCCUUCUGGCUGCUGAGAGUACUUGGCUCACACACAUUGUGGCAGUCCAGAAGAUGAUAGAUAGCCUGACAGAAUAUAAAAUGACCUCAUACAGCUUCAGACAAUUGGGAGGAGAGGGUGCUUGGGGCAGAUCUUUCACCUAGGAACACAGCGUUUCACUAUACCCAAAACUUUGGAUGUUGCCUAAACAUAUUGGGCAUCACGUGCCAGUAGACUAGCAAGCAAAGGAGUUACUAUACUGAUUUUCAUGACCAGAUAGGGUUACUGCUGCACAAUCAAGAUAGGGAAAAUAUGACUGAAACUCAGAUAAUUCAUGGAGGUGCCCUACUGUGGUUUGGAUCUAUGUCCCCACCCAAAUCUCAUGUCAAACUGUAAUCAUCAGUGUUGGAGAUGGGGCCUGGUGGGACGUGAUGGAUCAUGGGGUCAGAUCCUUCAUAAAUAGUUUAUCACCAUCUGUUCUCCUGAUAGAGUUCUCAUGAGAUCUGGUUACUUAAACGUGUGUAGCACCUCCCCUCACUCUGUCUUGCUCCUGCUUCCACCGUGUGAGAUGCCUCACUCCCCCUGUGCCUUCUGCCAUGAUUGGAAGCUUCCUAAGGCCUCCCCAGAAGUAAAAGCUGCUCUGCUUCUUGUACAGUCUGCAAAACCAUGAGCCAAUUAAACCUCUCUUCUUUAUAAAUGUCCCAGUCCCAAGUAUUUCUUUAAAGCAAUGUGAGGACAGACUAAUACAUACCCCUUGGUGCUUCCAUCCCAAGGAAUAAUCUGAUAAGAACAGGGCAAGUUAGAAUCCAGAGGUUUCAUGGAUCUAGGUCUGUGUUACCCAACUAGGCCAAUGACUUAGGCCAAUAGAAGUCCUGGCUGAGAGUAAAGGUGAAGAGACUCUAGAGUGGGGGCAGAAGAGGAAGCUGAGAAAUAUCACCUAUAGGCGAUAUUUCUAUUUGUCUUAGAAAUUGUGUGUGUGUGUGUGUGUGCGUGUGAGUGUGUGUGUGUGUGAAGUGGGUGGGGACUGGGUAUCCCUUUGUAGAAUGAGUAACAGAGCAGAUUAACUUAAAGCAGGGCGUGAAUGGAUCUGGAUGAUCCAGCAGGUGGACUGUAGCGGAUGACGGUAGUGCUCCCAUCAUCAGCCCUCACUUUCCCUGUAAAUGCCUACAACCCUUUCUGCAAACACUUGUGCCUCCUUGUCUACAGGGAGCUUCUAAGGAAGCUCCCAGACCCCAGUAAUGCAAAGUAAAGUGACAUAGUGCUUAUGUAAGUCUGGAACAGCUUUUACUUUAAAAACUGUGCUCCUUGUCUUGUGCAUAAGAACACUGUACACUUGUAUACCUCUCUGUGUGCUUCAGAACCUCUCUGUGACCCAUCAGUCUACACAACACUGCAUAUCCCAGUCUCCAACCAGUGGUUUUUGGCUCCUUCCUCACUGGAGUGCUCCAUUCAAUAAAAUGUCUUAUCUACUGUCU